CGAUAGUUGUUCUUAUCAAUUGGACUAGUACGAACUAUUUUAACCCUUGUCAAGGCAUCAGACAAGGAUACCUAUGUUCCCCUACAUUUUCAUUCUUUGCAUGGAGCUCCUCUCAUUUUAUAUUAACUACCAAGUAAUAUUUGCCUUUGGUACCCUAUCUAUAUCUCCUCUCUCACACCUUUUCGGGAAGGCAAAUCUUAAAACUAUCCAUUUCAUUGACACCUCCCUUCAAUUAUUCUGCCAUCUUUCAGGUAUUGGCUGAGGAAUCCUCCUAUCACGCAUAGCUACAAAAAUGGUAACAAUGUAGUUCAUGUGUUGGCGGCUAAAGCUAAAAUCAAUGCAUCUUUUUUGGAACCCCCUACCUAUUUGUUGCAUACAGAAAUGAUGAAACAAAAAUAUAUAAAAACCAGCAAUUAUUGGGAUUUUACUUUUUAGGGAACAUAAGAUCAGGGACAAUAUCACUGUAUUUUUCAUCAAUCAUAUCAGGGAAAUAAUAUGAAAACAUUCAUAUCAAUCAGACACCAUAUUAUUAUUUCUUGCAUAACAACUCAUAUAGUUGUUGUUUGUGGAUUACAAACUCUUUAAUGUUACUUAUCUUAAUGUGUAUGUAUAUUUUUGGGGAAAAAGGUUUGAAAUAUAAUUGAAUGUUGAUCAAAAUAGAUGUAAUAAUUGUAAAUUUUGAACAUGACUUAUUAUCUCUGCACUUUUAACAGUGUAUUUUAAAGAUAUAUAAGUGUUCAGCUAGAUAAGUUAUUAUUUACAAUAAUGCAAUAUUUAU